UACGUAGGGUGCGAGCGUUAAUCGGAAUUACUGGGCGUAAAGUGUGCGUAGGCGGCGUCGCAAGUCGAGUGUGAAAGCCCCGAGCUUAACUUGGGAAUUGCGCUCGAAACUAUGGUGCUGGAGUGUGGCAGAGGAAGGUGGAAUUCCACGUGUAGCGGUGAAAUGCGUAGAGAUGUGGAGGAACACCGAUGGCGAAGGCAGCCUUCUGGGCCAACACUGACGCUCAUGCACGAAAGCGUGGGGAGCAAACAGG
rnacentral:rRNA from 1 species